UUUUUUUUGUUUUUUUUUUCAUAAGUCAAAAAUGUUUCCAUUACAUACAGUAAACAAAAUGCAAAUACAGAAAAGGAAAUAGUCUAGAAACAUUGAAUUUGGGAAAGUGUACUCCUCUCUCUCACGAUCUUCAUCUUCACUUAUGGGCAAAUGUUGGCCAAGAUCAAAAUGAAAUUUGUUCUCCAUCUUCCGCUAUCGAAGGCUCAGAAUCUAUGGGUGGUGAUGAUUGUGCGAGCAUUUUCCUGCAAUUUCUUCUUGGAUCUCCCGUUGGUCUUCCAUUUGAAGUUGUUGUCUUGAUAUUGGUGUUUCUGUCAUCUGAGUACAGGUUUGGGAUGAUCAUCUGGUGUUAUAUGACUGUCAUCUGGAGGUUCCUUGUCAUCCGGUGGUUCCCUUGGAAUGCUUUCUUCACCUGCCAUAGACUCAACCUCCUGGCUGCUCUCAUGACCUAAGGCAGCAACUCCAUUGUCCCCUUGUUGUUGCUUAUUGUUUUGAGCUUUAGUAACCAAGUUUUUCUCACUUUGGAAAUCAUUUAUAUUUGAUGUUCUAUGUUCGUUAUUUUGCUGCUGUUUCCUUGGUUAUCUCUUGUUGUGCAUCUGUUUCUACCUUACUUCCA